rnacentral:rRNA from 1 species
AGAGUUUGAUCAUGGCUCAGAAUCAACGCUGGCGGCGUGCCUCAGACAUGCAAGUCGAACGAUUAAAGCUCCCUUCGGGGAGUGUAUAGAGUGGCGCACGGGUGAGUAACACGUAAGUAAUCCGCCUUUGAGUGGGGAAUAACGUUCGGAAACGAACGCUAAUACCGCAUAACGCAGCGGCACCGCAAGGUGACAGUUGUUAAAGGAGCAAUCCGCUUGAAGAGGAGCUUGCGGCAGAUUAGCUUGUUGGUAAGGUAACGGCUUACCAAGGCUACGAUCUGUAUCCGGUCUAAGAGGACGGUCGGACACACUGACACUGAAUAACGGGUCAGACUCCUACGGGAGGCAGCAGUCGGGAAUUUUGGGCAAUGGGCGAAAGCCUGACCCAGCAACGCCGCGUGAAGGAUGAAGUAUUUCGGUAUGUAAACUUCGAAAGAAUAGGAAGAAUAAAUGACGGUACUAUUUAUAAGCUCCGGCUAACUACGUGCCAGCAGCCGCGGUAAUAC